GAAAUGCGAUAAGUAAUGUGAAUUGCAGAAUUCAGUGAAUCAUCGAAUCUUUGAACGCAUCUUGCGCUCCUUGGUAUUCCGAGGAGCAUGCCUGUUUGAGUGUCAUCAAGUUCUCAACUGCACCCAUUGGAAGGGGUGUGGCUUUGGAUAUGGAGGUUUUUCUUUGCAGGCUUGAGGUCUGCUCCUCUGAAAUGUAUUAGCGGUAUGUGAAAGCUACUGUGGGCGUGAUAAACUAUCUAUGCCUUUGCAGUUAUUUCUGUUGUGCUGCUUCUAGAGAGAGUUAUUAUUUUUGACAAACUUGACCUCAAAUCAGGUAGGACUACCCGCUGAACUUAA
rnacentral:misc_RNA from 1 species